rnacentral:rRNA from 1 species
GAUGAACGCUGGCGGCGUGCCUAAUACAUGCAAGUCGAACGCAUAGCGAAAGGUUCUUGCACCUUUCACGUGAGUGGCGAACGGGUGAGUAACACGUGGACAACCUGCCUCAAUGCUGGGGAUAACAUUUGGAAACAGAUGCUAAUACCGAAUAAAACUUAGUGUCGCAUGACACAAAGUUAAAAGGCGCUUCUGCGUCACCUAGAGAUGGAUCCGCGGUGCAUUAGUUAGUUGGUGGGGUAAAGGCCUACCAAGACAAUGAUGCAUAGCCGAGUUGAGAGACUGAUCGGCCACAUUGGGACUGAGACACGGCCCAAACUCCUACGGGAGGCUGCAGUAGGGAAUGUUCCACAAUGGGCGAAAGCCUGAUGGAGCAACGCCGCGUGUGUGAUGAAGGCUUUCGGGUCGUAAAGCACUGUUGUAUGGGAAGAACAGCUAGAAUAGGAAAUGAUUUUAGUUUGACGGUACCAAAACAGAAAGGGACGGCUAGAUACGUG